GAUGAACGCUGGCGGCGUGCUUAACACAUGCAAGUCGAACGGUAAGGCCCUUCGGGGUACACGAGUGGCGAACGGGUGAGUAACACGUGGGUGAUCUGCCCUGCACUUCGGGAUAAGCCUGGGAAACUGGGUCUAAUACCGGAUAGGACCACUGCCUGCAUGGGUGGUGGUGGAAAGCUUUUGCGGUGUGGGAUGGGCCCGGGGCCUAUCAGCUUGUUGGUGGGGUGAUGGCCGACCAAGGCGACGACGGGUAGCCGGCCUGGGAGGGUGACCGGUCACACUGGGACUGAGAUACGGCCCAGACUCCUACGGGAGACAGCAGUGGGGAAUAUUGCACAAUGGGCGCAAGCCUGAUGCAGCGACGCCGCGUGAGGGAUGACGGCCUCCGGGUUGUAAACCUCUUUCAGCACCGACGAAGCGCAAGUGACGGUAGGUGCAGAAGAAGGACCGGCCAACUACGUGCCAGCCGCCGCAGUAA
rnacentral:rRNA from 1 species